rnacentral:rRNA from 1 species
UACGUAGGGUGCGAGCGUUAAUCGGAAUUACUGGGCGUAAAGCGUGCGCAGGCGGCGGCCCAAGUCAGUUGUGAAAUCCCCGGGCUUAACCUGGGAAUUGCGCUUGAAACUAGGUCGCUAGAGUGUGGAAGAGGGGGGUGGAAUUCCACGUGUAGCAGUGAAAUGCGUAGAGAUGUGGAGGAACACCGAUGGCGAAGGCAGCCCCCUGGGUCAACACUGACGCUCAGGCACGAAAGCGUGGGGAGCAAACAGG